rnacentral:tRNA from 2 species
GUUCGUGUGGCCCAAUGGUAAGGCGUGGCUCUCCUAAAAGCCAAGAUUGUGGGUUCGAAUCCCAUCACGAACG